rnacentral:misc_RNA from 1 species
GUCGUAACAAGGUUUCCGUAGGUGAACCUGCGGAAGGAUCAUUACCACACCUUUAACCCAAUUCGAUUGAGUGUGCCUACUUGUAGGCUGCUCAACUCGAACGUUCCGUGAACCCAUACGUGUAAUUUCUGGGUUGAAACACACCCCUUCCUUAACCUUUAAAUGACUUGAAACUUCUUCGGGAGUGAAUCGUCGACCUGAAACAAAAUUUCAUAGGAUGUGAUUAACCUCCAUCUGUAACUAAUGUCAAAACACUUUCAGCAAUGGAUGUCUUGGCUCCCAU